GCAUUUGUAGUCUAGUGGUUAGGAUUGGAGCUUCCCAAGCUUUAGACCCGGGUUCAAAUCCCGGCAAGUGCA
rnacentral:tRNA from 1 species